rfam:Paenibacillus curdlanolyticus YK9 ctg108, whole genome shotgun sequence.
UUUGGUGUCGAUGGCGGAGGGGUUCCACGCGUACCCAUCCCGAACACGACCGUUAAGUCCUCCAACGCCGAUGGUACUUGGACCGCAGGGUCCUGGGAGAGUAGGAAGAUGCCAAGC